rnacentral:lncRNA from 1 species
AAACAACGAUGUGUUUUAUUUAUCUCUUUCUGUUGAGAGGACAGAUCACAAGACAGAGAACAGCAGUCCUGGUCACGCAUCAAGGUUUGGUUAGUUUCCACAAAUGCAAUGGAUGGGUGGGGCAGGGUCUGGCCGAGUUCCACUCUUAUGACCUUCAACUUCUUGCCAUGGCUCUCCAGCAGGGCUUCGUGGAGCCCUGCUGCGUCUCCAAACUGCAACACAGCUGUGGCCUCACACAUCACUCCAACACUCACACUCCAGUCAACAGGCAGAGGAAGGACAAAGGAGCUGCCCCUGCUCCCCGGACAAGGGGACCUGGGCAGAGAAGCAAAGACCUCCCACUCUCCCCGUUGUCCAUCCCAUCUCCACAAGCUGGCCCCAGCAGAACAGGCCUCCCUCAGCUGUCACCUGCCAGUGACCCAACUCCAGGAUGAGAGUCUGAGCCCAGACUGAAAUCUGAGAAGCAGGUUAGAUGGGACAGAGUGAGAGGUUCCAGAGCCCCUGGGUUAUUGCUGAGAAGAUAUGCAAGGGGCACAUUCCCCAGGGAUGGAAUAGAAGCCCUGGGCCUGGAAUCCCUGGGUACUCUGCAAAGGGGCAGGCAGAUGGGGCUCCAUGGUGCAGGACCCAAGAGGAAAGAGGCCAUGGAAGGGCGGAGGCCGCCUGACAGCAACCUUGGCUCACCAGCAACUUCUUCCCACCUCCAAUAGCUAAGAGGCCUUCCAGGCACUCGGGUCAGGGUGGAAUAUGGGAGUGAGGUUCUCGCGAAAGGACUGAAGAGUGGGUGAGGAGCAAUGAUAGAAAACUUCUCCAGCCCAGGAGAGUUGGGAGCUGGGGACUCCUGCCCGGGCACCUACUCUACCCUCAUCCCUAAAUCAGGAGGAGGGAUUGGGCUCCCAGGGGAAAAGCAAACUCCAGGAAGCAGGAGAGGAUGCAGAGCCACGGGGAGGCAGGGAGGAGCCGAUGGCAAUGGCUCAGCCCCUACCCGGGAAAGCGAGUCUACAGAUCACGAAUAUGAUACCAGCCACCAACAAGUAGCCACGAAGAUCAAGUCGACAAGACACGUGCGCGCACACACACACACACACACACACACUAGGUGGGGACCACAGGCUGCAGGUGGGGAAGCCAGGGUUAGUUGCAUCAUGAUGUAGAGGACCGGGGUUAGUGGGCACAGGAAGGGCACAAGGGACACACACAAGUUCUUGGCUUCUCCUGGGGAAGGGUCUGUUGUGGGGGUGGCUGCUUUCUGAAGCAUCGCCAUCUGCAUCUGAAGGUUGGAGCAGCUGCCUUCAGGUUCCGGAGGCUGAGAAUGGACAGAAUUAAAUGAAAAUAGAGCUCUGGCUCCUUCACCUGCCCCCUCCCACCUCAGCGCAGCCCCCUUGCCCAUUGAAAUUUCGGAAAUGAC